rnacentral:rRNA from 1 species
UACGAAGGGGGCUAGCGUUGCUCGGAAUCACUGGGCGUAAAGGGUGCGUAGGCGGGUCUUUAAGUCAGGGGUGAAAUCCUGGAGCUCAACUCCAGAACUGCCUUUGAUACUGAAGAUCUUGAGUUCGGGAGAGGUGAGUGGAACUGCGAGUGUAGAGGUGAAAUUCGUAGAUAUUCGCAAGAACACCAGUGGCGAAGGCGGCAUCCUGGUCUGUGACUGACGCUGAGGCGUGAAAGCUAGGGGAGCAAACGGG